GAAUCCAAAAGUCAGAAUUCAGUUAGUAUGAAAAUCUAUGUCUUAAAAUGAAGGCUGUAAAAAGAAGAGGCAAUUUGGAAGUCUACUUUAAAUAUGAGAUCUUAAAUCACUGUAUUUUAUAAAAGGCUACUUCCUUGCAUCAGCCUCGCUCUUUCUUCAAAAUGUUUCACUUAAUGGAUGAAGAUUAUACUCUACACUUUCUGCAGAUGGUCUGGGACCUGUCUGUAUCAGCUGGUGGAUAGGUCCUUAAGUUUUCAGUGAGAAGGCUAUAAAUAGCCAUGGUUGAUAGGUAUUGGAAGGUGUCUCUACAUCAACCCAAAAGUGGACUUUCUUCUGCAUGAUGGAGAUCUCUGUGUAUGUUUAUGCAUCAGUAUUAUCAGCCUAAGUGUGGGAAGGCAGUAAAGGUAACCUAAAAUUUAUGCUGUUAUAAAGGAAAAGUGUGUCUCUGCUAAAAAGUCUCAUUCCUUCUUUUGCUCUUUCAGCUGUGUCCUGAAGUGCAGUCCUGUCUGUCUAUAAUAAAGCAGGUUACCUUUGAGGUUUGCA
rnacentral:lncRNA from 1 species